rnacentral:rRNA from 1 species
UACGUAGGGGGCAAGCGUUGUCCGGAUUUAUUGGGCGUAAAGAGCGUGUAGGCGGCCAGGCAGGUCCGCUGUGAAAACUCGAGGCUCAACCUCGAGAGGUCGGUGGAAACCGUUUGGCUAGAGUCCGGAAGAGGAGAGUGGAAUUCCCGGUGUAGCGGUGAAAUGCGCAGAUAUCGGGAAGAACACCCGUGGCGAAGGCGGCUCUCUGGGACGGUACUGACGCUGAGACGCGAAAGCGUGGGGAGCGAACGAGG